rnacentral:rRNA from 1 species
UACCAGCUCUCCGAGUGGUAGGGAUGUUUAUUGGGCUUAAAGCGUCCGUAGCCGGCUUAGCAAGUCUCCUGUUAAAUUCAGCGACCUAAUCGUUGAGCCGCGGGAGAUACUACUAGGCUAGGAGGCGGGAGAGGUCGACGGUACUUCCGGGGUAGGGGUGAAAUCCUAUAAUCCCGGGAGGACCACCAGUGGCGAAGGCUGUUGACUAGAACGCGCUCGACGGUGAGGGACGAAAGCUGGGGGAGCGAACCGGAUUAGAUACCCGGGUAGUCCCAGCUGUAAACGAUGCGAGCUAGGUGUUGGGGUGGCUACGUGCCACUUCAGUGCCGCAGGGAAGCCAUUAAGCUCGCCGCCUGGGAAGUACGGUCGCAAGGCUGAAACUUAAAGGAAUUGGGCGGGGGAGCACAGCGAACGGGAGGAGCGUGCGGUUU